rnacentral:lncRNA from 1 species
UGGUGAGAGAGGAUCGUACAUCCAGGGACAUCACCAGAAAUCCACAUCCCAGCACGCAAAGAGGGGGGGAAUACUGAUAGUACAGGGUCCGACACACAGACCAUAGUACUAAAAGACGUAUCCCAAAGUACCUAGUACGCAGAGGAGGGGGGAGUACUGGUGAUACAGUAUCCCGAACACGGUCACAACCUACCAGCAAC